rnacentral:snRNA from 1 species
GCACUCGUCUGGCUGAGGAGACAUGAUCAGGAAGGCCUUUUCCCAGGAUGAGGCUCCUUCCUGGACACGAGAGGUGCUGACCCCUGUUACUGUCCCCAGUUUAUGAAACUCAGCUGCUUCUUUUGUAGUAGUGGGAGACUGUUCACCCU